rnacentral:rRNA from 1 species
AGAGAUGUGUGAUGACGCAUAUCAAUAAGCGGAGGAAAAGAAACUAACAAGGAUUCCCUUAGUAACGGCGAGUGAAGCGGGAAGAGCUCAAAUUUGAAAUCUUCAAGGUUCUACCUUGACGAAUUGUAGUUUAUAGAAGUGUUUUCUGUUAGUAGAGUGGCAAAAGUUCUUUGGAAUAGGACAUCAUAGAGGGUGAGAAUCCCGUAUUUGGUCAUUCCUCCUAGCGUUGUGAUACACUUUCAACGAGUCGGAUUGUUUGGGAAUGCAGUCCAAAAUGGGUGGUAAAUUUCAUCUAAAGCUAAAUAUUGGCGAGAGACCGAUAGCGAACAAGUACCGUGAGGGAAAGAUGAAAAGAACUUUGAAAAGAGAGUUAAACAGUACGUGAAAUUGUCAAAAGGGAAGCGUUUGACACCAGUGUUGUUUUUCCGAAAAUCAAUUACGAAUGUUUUGUUUUUGAGGAGUUAUGACUUCAUCGGCUUGCUCCUUUCUUUACGAAACUUUCUUAAUGCACUUUUCGGUUAACAAGUCAACAUCAAUUUCUUUUGUUGUAAAAGGGUACGAGGAAGGUGGCUUUCUUUUCGGAGAAAGUGUUUAUAGCCUUGUGCCUCUGCAAUCGGAGAGAUUGAGGUCUGCAGCGUAGAUCCUUCGGGGUUAGAUACAUUUGUGCUAAGUUAUAGCUUUUCAUAGACAACUUGUUGACUAUGUUAGUCUUGUAGCUUACUCGCUUAUGUCUAUUUUACCUACGCUUAGGAUGUUGAUCUGUAGUGCGUGCGC